AAGUCAGAUGUGAAAGCCCCGGGCUUAACCUGGGAACUGCAUUUGAAACUGGUCAACUAGAGUAUGGUAGAGGAAAGUGGAAUUUCUGGUGUAGCGGUGAAAUGCGUAGAUAUCAGAAGGAACAUCAAUGGCGAAGGCAGCUUUCUGGACCAAUACUGACGCUGAGGUACGAAAGCGUGGGUAGCAAACAGGAUUAGAUACCCUGGUAGUCCACGCCGUAAACGAUGAUAACUAGCCGUUGGGGGGAUUUACCCUUUAGUGGCGAAGCUAACGCGUUAAGUUAUCCGCCUGGGGAGUACGGCCGCAAGGUUAAAACUCAAAUGAAUUGACG
rnacentral:rRNA from 1 species